rnacentral:lncRNA from 1 species
CAAAAAUCGGCGGAAGAAUAAUAAUAACUAGAAAAAUUGCAUUUCCUUGCAGAAAAUGCGUGGAAAUGCUGAGUGCUGAAAGCUGAAAAAGCAAUGCUAAACUGCUAAUAAAACAUGGAGAAAGGUAUAAAUGUUAAGGCUGUUGAAGGAGUGAAAAAGAAAUAUAGGUUGGACAAUUGUUUAAUUGGUUGAAGGACAAAUAGUAUGAAUAUGCUCUAUAAAAGGAAAUUUUAUUCAUGCUGAAAGAGGCUAGAAAAAUGUCUAAAAUUGCACAAAGUUUGAAUGAAAAAGGAAAUUGCCUUAAAAGGCAGGAAGGUGAGAAGUGGAAUAAGUCUAAGUUUUUAUGUAUUAGAAAGGUUUGAAUCAGUUUGAAUGAGUUUAAAUUAGUUAGAAAAAUUAAAUGAUAAAUCAUCACCGAGUGACUUAUAAAAGUGAAAAAUUUAAAUGAAUAUAAAUCUGAAUACACUCCAUAGUGUCCUCAAUGAGCUUAAAUUUUAAAGUCCUGAAUGGUUUCUGUAGGUCAAAGGUCAUGUGAGGACAUAGGGGCUGACGUUUUUUCAAACGCUCUAGGAAAGGGUUUUAAGUGUCAUCCCCAGUGCUAUGUGUACUGAGCUUGGCUUCAUGUGUCUCAUAUGGCCAUUAGAAGCAGCUUUCCAGUCAGCUGUGUGUCUCCAGGUGCACAAAUUGGUUGCCAUGGGGACCUUGGAUGCAUGACUUUAGCAGGAGAAAGAAGGCUUGAAGCUAAGGAAACAGGACUCCAAGUAGGCCCUGACGCUCAUCCUCUGUAUAUAUAUUAAUAAGGAGCUUGUGAGAACACAAGACUCUGCUGAACACAUUAAUACAAUUUAUUAUCACAAUCCUCAAAACACCCCAUAAUAUCUUCAGUGAGCUGAAUAUUUGAAGCCCAGAAUGGUUUCUGUAGCUCAAAGUUUGUGGGUGGAGAUAGGUGGCGAAGCAGACACAUAUCAACUGUGUGUACAAGCAGCUCAACUGCAAGGUAGACCUCAUAAAGCAACAAGUACAAGAAUGUGUGUGUGUGUGUGUGUGUGUCUCGUUAAUGACUGCAUCCUAAACAGCUGUGAGAUCAAAGGCAAAUCACUAACCUACUGUUUGACUGAGAGGUGCUGAACUGCAGUGAACUUAGGGCCUGUGAACUUCUUCACAUAGCGUGAUUUCCUUAAAUCCCAGAAUGAAAAUAAGAACAUUGUACGAAUCCUCCGUCCUUCAUGAACACAAUGAUGUGUUUUUUAUGUCUCUACUCCGAAAAAUGUGGCCACAACAGCGAGUUAAAAAGUCUGAGCCUGAGUGGCGAUAAGGAUUUUCUUGGAGAAAAAAUACAUUAGGGCCAAUGGGGAGAGAUUUCCGCCUAUUUGGACAGUUGGUCACCUGCUGGCCAAGGGGUAGGAUUUAAUGAUUUGAAACCUCUUUUGUGAGAAGCAGGACACAUAUACCUCCAUUUUGAUGUAUUUUUUAUGGCUGUGGAGUGAGAUUUGUGGGCGUGGGAGCGAUAUAUUCAAGCGAGGUUCUGUCGAUCAGGGAGGAGGUCUGCACUCUAGCUUUUCAAAUCCUCACUCUAGCCUCUCCAAUACACCCCUAUUGUAAAGCCUGAAAUUUGCUGAAAACCACAAGUUGCAUAAAGCUAAACUGUGGAAAAACUGUAAAAGAUAGCACAAAGAGGUUAAUACAACAUCAAUAGUCGACAAGACAAUGAACAUUUUAAAGCAAAAAUGAGGUCUCUAGGUGAAAGUAUGCUGAAGUUAUAAGGCUUAGAAGGUGGACGAAUAACAGGAAGAAGUGGAAGAUUUCCCCAUUCAUUCCUAUGGGAAAAAAAGUUUGGCACAAAAAGUGAAAAAUAAUAAAAAGUACAAAGGAUAGAAAGGAAAAAAAUACAAGCACACAUGUCCUGAUGGAGUGGAAUAGUUUAAAGUUUAAACGGUUGAAAUCGGACAAAUUUUGAAGGAGGAGAAGCGGUCCAAAGAAAUGUAUGGGGAGAGUGUUAAGUAUAAUACUAGAAAAAUUGCAUUUCCUUGCAGAAAAUGCGUGGAAAUGCUGAGUGCUGAAAGCUGAAAAAGCAAUGCUAAACUGCUAAUAAAACAUGGAGAAAGGUAUAAAUGUUAAAGCUGUUGAAGGGGUGAAAAAGAAAUAUAAGUUGGAUAAUGGUCUAAUUGGUUGAAGGACAAAUAGUAUGAAUAUGCUCUAUAAAUGGAAGUUUUAUUCAUGCUGAAAGAGGCUAGAAAAAUGUCUACAAUUGCACAAAGUUUGAAUGAAGAAGGAAACUUCCUUAAAAGGCAGGAAGGUGAGAAGUGGCAUAAGUUUAAGUUGUAGUACUAGAAGUAGUAUAAUAGGUCAAGUCGUGAUACUAGUAGUCAUGUCAGCAGUAGAAGUAGUUUGAGAAUAAAAGAAGUAUAAGUCACAAUAGUAGAGAAAGUAGAAAUAGGAGCAAUAGCAGUUGAAGUAGAGGGGAUAGUACUAGUUUAAUUGACAUUAGCGGUAGUUGUCGUACUUGAGGUAGGAUUUUGUUUGAAGGAUGGAGUAAUGCAUAAAUAUUAAAACUUAUUUCAAACAGGGAAAAUUGAAAUAAUUAAAAAUCCUCAAGAAUCAGAAAGUUUUUAAGUAUUAGAAAGGUUUGAAUCAGUUUGAAUGAGUUUCAAUUAGUUUGAAAAAAUAAAUGAUAAAUCAUCACUGAGUGACUUUAAAAUGUGAAAAAUUUAAAUGAAUAUAAAUCCUAAAUACACCCCAUAAUGUCCUCAAUGAGCUUAAAUUUUAAAGCCCUGAAUGGUUUCUGUAGGUCAAAGGUCAUGUGAGGAGAUAGGGGCUGAAGUUUUUUCAAGCGCUCUAGGAAAGGGUUUUAAGUGUCAUCCCCAGUGCUGUGUGUACUGAGCCUGGCUUCAUGUGUCUCAUAUGGCCAUUAGAAGCAGCUUUCCAGUCAGCUGUGUGUCUCCAGGUGCACAAGUUGGUUGCCAUGGGGACCUUGGAUGCAUAACUAUAGCAGGAGAAAGAAGGCUUGAAGCUAAAGAAACAGGACUCCAAGUAGGCCCUGACGCUCACCCUCUGUAUAUAUUCAUAAGGAGCUUGUGAGAACACAAGACUCUGCUGAACACAUUAAUACAAUUUAUUAUCACAAUCCUCAAAACACCCCAUAAUAUCUUCAAUGAGCUGAAUUUUUGAAGCCCAGAAUGGUUUCUGUAGCUCAAAGUUUGUGGGUGGAGAUAGGUGGUAAAGCAGACACAUAUUAACUGUGUGUAAAAGCAGCUGAACUGCAAGGUGGACCUCAAAAAGCAACAAGUACAAGAAUGUGUGUGCGUGUGUGUGUGUGUGUGUGUCUCGUUAAUGACUGCAUCCUAAACAGCUGUGAGAUCAAAGGCAAAUCACUGACCUACUGUUUGACUGAGAGGUGCUGAACUGCAGUGAAUUAAGGGUUCUGAACUUCUUCACAUAGCACGAUUUCCUUAAGUCCCAGAAUGAAAAUAAGAACAUCGUACAAAUCCUCCGCCCUUCAUGAACACAAUGAUGUGUUUUUCAUGUCUGUACUCCGAAAAAUGUGGCCACAACAGCGAGUUAAAAAAGUCUGAGCCUGAGUGGCGAUAAGGAUUUUCUUGGAGAAAAAAUACAUUAGAGCCAAUGGGGAGAGAUUUCCGCCUAUUUGGACAGUUGGUCACCUGCUGGCCAAGGGGUAAGAUUUAAUGAUUUGAAACCUCUUUUGUGAGAAGCAGGACACAUAUACCUCCAUUUUGAUGUAUUUUUUAUGGCUGUGGAGUGAGAUUUGUGGGCGUGGGAGCGAUAUAUUCGAGCGAGGUUCUGUCGAUCAGAGAGGAGGUCUGCACUCUAGCUUUUCAAAUCAUCACUCUAGCCUCUCCAAUACACCCCUAUUAUAAAGCCUGAAAUUAGCUGAAAACCACAAGUUGCAUAAAGCUAAAUUGUGGAAAAACUGUAAAAGAUAGCACAAAAAGGUUAAUACAACAUCAAUAGUCGACAAGACAAUGAACAUUUUAAAGCAAAAAUGAGGUCUCUAGGUGAAAGUAUGCUGAAGUUAUAAGGCUUAGAAGGUGGACGAAUAACAGGAAGAAUUGGAAGAUUUCCCCAUUCAUUUCUAUGGGAAAAAAAGUUUGGCACAAAAAGUGAAAAAUAAUAAAAAGUAUAAAGGAUAGAAAAGAGAAAAGUAAUAGCCAUCAUGUCCUGAAGGAGUGGAAUAGUUUAAAGUUUGAACGGUUGAAAUCGGACAAAGUUUGAAGGAGGAGAAGCGGUCCAAAGAAACGUAUGGGGAGAGUGUUAAGUAUAAUACUAGAAAAAUUGCAUUUCCUUGCAGAAAAUGCGUGGAAAUGCUGAGUGCUGAAAGCUGAAAAAGCAAUGCUAAACUGCUAAUAAAACAUGGAGAAAUGUAUAAAUGUUAAAGCUGUUGAAGGGGUGUGAAAGAAAUGUAAGUUGGAUAAUUGAUUAAUUGGUUGAAGGACAAAUAGUAUGAAUAUGCUCUAUAAAAAGAAAUUUUAUUCAUGCUGAAAGAGGCUAGAAAAAUGUCUAAAAUUGCACAAAGUUUGAAUGAAGAAGGAAAUUGCCUCAAAAGGCAGGAAAGUGAGAAGUGGUAUAAGAUUAAUUUUUUAAGUAUUAGAAAGGUUUGAAUCAGUUUAAAUGAGUUCAAAUUAGUUUGAAUAAUUAAAUGAUAAAUCAUCACUGACUGACUUUUAAAAUGUGAAAAAUUUAAAUGAAUAACAAUCCUAAAUACACCCAAUAAUGUCCUCAAUGAGCUCAAAUUUUAAAGCCCUGAAUGGUUUCUGUAGGUCAAAGGUCAUGUGAGGAGAUAGGGGCUGAAGGUUUUUCAAGCGCUCUAGGAAAGGGUUUUAAGUGUCAUCCCCAGUGCUAUGUGUGCUGAGCCUAGCUUCAUGUGUCUCAUAUGGCCAUUAGAAGCAGCUUUCCAGUCAGCUGUGUGUCUCCAGGUGCACUAAUUGGUUGCCAUGGGGACCUUGGAUGCAUAACUAUAGCAGGAGAAAGAAGGCUUGAAGCUAAGGAAACAGGGCUCCAAGUAGGCCCUGACGCUCAUCCUCUGUAUCUAUUCCUGAUAAGGAGCUUGUGAGAACACAAGACUCUGCUAAACACAUUAAUACAAUUUAUUAUCACAAUCCUCAAAACACCCCAUAAUAUCUUCAAUGAGCUGAAUUUUAGAAGCCCAGAAUGGUUUCUGUAGCUCAAAGUUUGUGGGUGGAGAUAGGUGGCGAAGCAGACACAUAUUAACUGUGUGUACAAGCAGCUGAACUGCAAGGUAGACCUCAUAAAGCAACAAGUACAAGAAUGUGUGUGUGUGUGUGUGUGUGUCUCGUUAAUGACUGCAUCCUAAACAGCUGUAAGAUCAAAGCCAUGAACUGACCUAUUGUUUGAAUGGAGAAGCUGCUGAACUGCAGUGAAUUUAGGGUUCUGAACUUCUUCACAUAGCACGAUUUCCUUAAGUCCCAGAAUGAAAAUAAGAACAUCGUACAAAUCCUCCGCCCUUCAUGAACACAAUGAUGUGUUUUUCAUGUCUGUACUCCGAAAAAUGUCGCCACAACAGCGAGUUAAAAAAGUCUGAGCCUGAGUGGCGAUAAGGAUUUUCUUGGAGAAAAAAUACAUUAGAGCCAAUGGGGAGAGAUUUCCACCUAUUUGGACAGUUGGUCACCUGCUGGCCAAGGGGUAAGAUUUAAUGAUUUGAAACCUCUUUUGUGAGAAGCAGGACACAUAUACCUCCAUUUUGAUGUAUUUUUUAUGGCUGUGGAGUGAGAUUUGUGGGCGUGGGAGCGAUAUAUUCGAGCGAGGUUCUGUCGAUCAGAGAGGAGGUCUGCACUCUAGCUUUUCAAAUCAUCACUCUAGCCUCUCCAAUACACCCCUAUUAUAAAGCCUGAAAUUAGCUGAAAACCACAAGUUGCAUAAAGCUAAAUUGUGGAAAAACUGUAAAAGAUAGCACAAAAAGGUUAAUACAACAUCAAUAGUCGACAAGACAAUGAACAUUUUAAAGCAAAAAUGAGGUCUCUAGGUGAAAGUAUGCUGAAGUUAUAAGGCUUAGAAGGUGCACGAAUAACAGGAAGAAUUGGAAGAUUUCCCCAUUCAUUUCUAUGGGAAAAAAGUUUGGAACAAAAAGUGAAAAAUAAUAAAAAGUACAGAGGAUAGAAAGGAAAAAAAUACAAGCACACAUGUCCUGAUGGAGUGGAAUAGUUUAAAGUUUGAACGGUUGAAAUCGGACAAAGUUUGAAGGAGGAGAAGCGGUCCAAAGAAACGUAUGGGGAGAGUGUUAAGUAUAAUACUAGAAAAAUUGCAUUUCCUUUCAGAAAAUGCGUGGAAAUGCUGAGUGCUGAAAGCUGAAAAAGCAAUGCUAAACUGCUAAUAAAACAUGGAGAAAGGUAUAAAUGUUAAAGCUGUUGAAGGGGUGAAAAAGAAAUAUAAGUUGGAUAAUGGUCUAAUUGGUUGAAGGACAAAUAGUAUGAAUAUGCUCUAUAAAUGGAAGUUUUAUUCAUGCUGAAAGAGGCUAGAAAAAUGUCUACAAUUGCACAAAGUUUGAAUGAAGAAGGAAACUGCCUUAAAAGGCAGGAAGGUGAGAAGUGGCAUAAGUUUAAGUUGUAGUACUAGAAGUAGUAUAAUAGGUCAAGUCGUGAUACUAGUAGUCAUGUCAGCAGUAGAAGUAGUUUGAGAAUAAAAGAAGUAUAAGUCACAAUAGUAGAGAAAGUAGAAAUAGGAGCAAUAGUAGUUGAAGUAGAGGGGAUAGUACUAGUUUAAUUGACAUUAGCGGUAGUUGUCGUACUUGAGGUAGGAUUUUGUUUGAAGGAUGGAGUAAUGCAUAAAUAUUAAAACUUAUUUCAAACAGGGAAAAUUGAAAUAAUUAAAAAUCCUCAAGAAUCAGAAAGUUUUUAAGUAUUAGAAAGGUUUGAAUCAGUUUGAAUGAGUUUCAACUAGUUUGAAAAAUAAAUGAUAAAUCAUCACUGAGUGACUUUAAAAUGUGAAAAAUUUAAAUGAAUAUAAAUCCUAAAUACACCCCAUAAUGUCCUCAAUGAGCUUAAAUUUUAAAGCCCUGAAUGGUUUCUGUAGGUCAAAGGUCAUGUGAGGAGAUAGGGGCUGAAGUUUUUUCAA